rnacentral:rRNA from 1 species
GACGAACCGUGCGAACGUUAUUCGGAAUUACUGGGCGUAAAGCGUGCGCAGGCGGUUUUGUAAGCCAGAUGUGAAAUCCCCGGGCUUAACCUGGGAAUGGCAUUUGGGACUGCAAGGCUAGAGUGCGGCAGAGGAGACUGGAAUUCCUGGUGUAGCAGUGAAAUGCGUAGAUAUCAGGAGGAAUACCGAUGGCGAAGGCAGGUCUCUGGGCUGACACUGACGCUCAUGCACGAAAGCGUGGGGAGCAAACAGG